ACAUCUAUUUGGUUUCCCUUUUUUCCGUGAAGUUAUUUUUUUCCAAAUACUUUUAGUAACUUGACCUACUUGCUUAUCCCUGAUUCUAGUGAAAAUGCAGCUCAUAAGAUGAAUGUACAAAGUGCAAGCUCUACGACAUCUGAGGAGAUAAGGCUUGUGAAUUCAGGAAACACAUAACAAUUUCCACCUCUUUGAGAAGGUUGGUAGUUGGGAAGGGCGUGAUGAACGGAAGCGGCACAAUGUCAUAACUUUGAGUUCAUCCUACAUUAGGAGUGGCGACAACAAACUUGCACAGCCGGUUAUCAUAAAACCCAUUGUUGAUAACAAUCACAGCAAUGCACAGGCACACAUUACAGUUCUACAAAAAUCAGAAAUUAGCCUGCAUACGGACAUGUCAAUGCCAAUCAAUUUUUUUUCUCCGACAGGCACCUAAAUGCAUGUCAUAUUUGUACUAGCGCAUACCAACGUUGUACCACUAGCCUGUCACCAGGUGAUAACCAAAGCCUCCAAAGAUCACUGUAUUCCAGGAAGUACUAGCGCACGAAUUUUGUGUUCCACCUUACAAGUUCAAACAGAUAAAAGGAUUGGAUCUUA